AGUGAACGCUGGCGGUAGGCCUAACACAUGCAAGUCGAACGGCAGCACAGUAAGAGCUUGCUCUUACGGGUGGCGAGUGGCGGACGGGUGAGGAAUACAUCGGAAUCUACUUUUUCGUGGGGGAUAACGUAGGGAAACUUACGCUAAUACCGCAUACGACCUACGGGUGAAAGCAGGGGAUCUUGGGACCUUGCGCGAUUGAAUGAGCCGAUGUCGGAUUAGCUAGUUGGCGGGGUAAAGGCCCACCAAGGCGACGAUCCGUAGCUGGUCUGAGAGGAUGAUCAGCCACACUGGAACUGAGACACGGUCCAGACUCCUACGGGAGGCAGCAGUGGGGAAUAUUGGACAAUGGGCGCAAGCCUGAUCCAGCCAUACCGCGUGAGUGAAGAAGGCCUUCGGGUUGUAAAGCCCUUUUGUUGGGAAAGAAAAGCAGCAGGUUGAUACCCCGCUGUUCUGACGGUACCCAAAGAAUAAGCACCGGCUAACUUCGUG
rnacentral:rRNA from 1 species